rnacentral:lncRNA from 1 species
CCAGGUUGUUGAAUAACUUGAGGAAAGUUUAUUCAGAGGGGACGGCAAGUCCCUUUUAAAGCAAAAUUACAUCAUAAGCAUUGUCAGAGAUAACAUGGAAUAAUGCAUCAAUAAUUGGUUAGGUGUUAAGUGGUUGCUCUAAUGCUCUGCCUACUGUAGGUGAUGUCACCGGGACCAUGAGGGUCUCCCACGGUUUCCCGGCGCCAUCUUGGUGCACGAGGUAGUUAGUCGAUGUUAGGAAGGAGAAAGGGAAGGGAGGGGGAAAAGAGCAAGAAGCUUCUAGCAGCCAUCUUAAUUAUAACGUGUGUGCUUAACUAUAUAUAUAUAUAUCGUGAAAUGAGUAAAUAGACAUUUUUCACUAACUAGGAAAUAUGUGUAGACCUUAUUUCCACAACA